AAAAUAGGUCGCCUUAUCGUUCCGAUUCGUCGGGAAGGAAAGUCCGGGCAACACAGAGCAUCGUACUUCCUAACGGGAAGUCUUCAGUCUAGACUGGAGGAGAAAGUGCAACAGAAAGCAAACCGCCCUGAGCUAGUCAAAGGGUAAGGGUGAAAGGGUGGGGUAAGAGCCCACCGGUCAUGCAGUGAUGCAAGACGCAUGGUAAACCUUACGAGUUGAAAGAUCAAAUAGGUUCUGUUCAGGAGCUGCUCGCUUCGCUCUCUUCGGAGAAAACAGAAUGGGUAGAUCGAUAGAUCGUGGUAGCAAUGCCAAGGCUAGAUAAAUGAUAAGGGUCUCGAUUCGUCGGGAUACAGAACCCGGCUUAUAGACCUAUUUUUACU
rnacentral:RNase_P_RNA from 1 species